rnacentral:tRNA from 1 species
GGGCGUUUGGCAGAGAGGUCGAUUGCGGCUGCCUGUGGUUCGAAUCCAUCAACGCCCACCA